CCAAUAGCGUAUAUUAAAGUUGUUGCAGUUAAAAAGCUCGUCGUUGAAUUUCGGGAUCAGACUGUCGGUCGUGCCUCGGUACGCACUGGCAUUAUUGGUUCCUACCUUCUGAAGAACCGCGAUGUCAUUAAUUUGGUGUCGUGGGGAAUCAGGACUGUUACUUUGAAAAAAUUAGAGUGUUUAAAGCAGGCGCACGCUUGAAUACAUUAGCAUGGAAUAAUGAAAUAGGACGUUUGAUUCUAUUUUGUUGGUUUCUAGGAUCGACGUAAUGAUUAAUAGGGAUAGUUGGGGGCAUUAGUAUUCAAUUGUCAGAGGUGAAAUUCUUGGAUUUAUUGAAGACUAACUACUGCGAAAGCAUUUGCCAAGGAUGUUUUCAUUAAUCAAGAACGAAAGUUAGGGGAUCGAAGACGAUCAGAUACCGUCGUAGUCUUAACCAUAAACUAUGCCGACUAGGGAUCGGAUGAUGUUAAUUUUAUAAUGACUCAUUCGGCGCCUUACG
rnacentral:rRNA from 1 species